rnacentral:rRNA from 1 species
GAAUUUGAUAAGGGCAGACGGUGGAUGCCUAGGCUCUCAGAAGCGAAGAAGGACGUGAUAAGCUGCGAAAAGCUGCGGUUAUUGGCACAUACGAAUUGACCCGCAGAUUUCCGAAUGGGGCAACCCGUCAGGCAGGAGGUCUGACACUGCGACAAGCAGGGCGAACGUGGGGAACUGAAACAUCUUAGUACCCAUAGGAAAAGAAAACAAAAGUGAUUCCCUCAGUAGUGGCGAGCGAACGGGGAUUAGCCCAAACCUAUAUUGUGAUUGCAAUAUGGGG